CCGAUAUGGCUCAGUUGGUAGAGCACUUCACUCGUAAUGAAGGGGUCGCGGGUUCGAGUCCCGCUAUCGG
rnacentral:tRNA from 1 species